UAACUUUAAUAUGUUAUUUGAUAAUUUAACUAACCUAGUUUUAAAUGUUUGGUAUUCCCCGAGGAUAUCACCAGCCCAGUAGUCAGCACUUCCGUGUUGACAUGAAUAUCAAUUACGUGCUCUUUUUUUUUUUUUUUUUAAAUUUCCUGUUACAAAACUUUGAUUUUUUUUUUGAAAAACUAAGGAUUUUGUAAUCCCAGAAAUAGAUUACCUUAGCCGUAUUUGGCACAACUUUUUUGGAAUUUUGGGUCCUCAAUGCUUUUCAACUUUGUACUUGUUUAGCAAUACAACUGUUUUGAUCUGAGCGUUACUGAUGAGUCUUAUGAAGACGAAACGCGCGUCUGGCGUAUUAAAUUAUAAUCCUGGUACCUUUGAUAACUCUUGACAGUUUAAACUUUAGAUAAUCUUUGAAAUUGUUUUCGUACCUCAUAAAAAGAACACAUACCCCGAGUUAAAAGUGUAAAUAGAUAUCCC
rnacentral:lncRNA from 1 species